rnacentral:lncRNA from 1 species
AAAUAUUUUGAUUUUUGAGUGUAAAUGGUGCAUACAAGUUCUGCAAAUUGUCCUCCAGGGGCUACAGGCUGUGCUUUCAGGAAAAGCUCAAGUGUCUGCUCUGGAGAGACCCAGCCAAGGAGGAGGGGCAGGUGCCCAGCUCCUGCCUGGCUCAGGCAAGCAACCCAGGGCAGAGGCAGCUCGUAGACCAUGGCUUCCCAGCUAGAGACCUGAUGCAGAAGCCCUGACUCCACAGAGUGCAGGGAGCAGGUGUGAGAGCAGCCAUGGCGGUGGAAGGAGAGGCUGAGGUGGAACUGGAGCUGUACUUCCCCGUCGCUUGGAGGACACACGGCUCGGCAACUUGUCAGCAACACGGAUGCCACCGUCACCAGGCUCUCAGGACAUCCUGAUGGCUCUAUAGUUUCCACUUAACUGCCAACCAGUAUAAGCCACAAAGCCUUCAUCCCUUGAGCUGGUGUGCUUGUAAGACACAUGCACCUGUGAGCAUUUCGCUCAUCAAACCUACACUUUCUCCAGAUGCCCGUGUCAGAGCUCUCGGCCGCCUGCUUCUGGCCUCUUCCCGUUCCAACCUCCUUCUGUCCUGCCAAGAGAAAGUCUACUCUUCAAAGAUGGAAACGAAGCUUAGUGACCCCUGCUUCCAGGCCUGUGUUCGCAGAGGAGGUUCCAAUCCCUGGGCACACUGGGUCCUGUCUUCUGCAGCAGAGGUGUCCGUGACAGACAUGACUCUUGGAGCCAGAUCCUGAUGACCCCUCUGUGCAGCGGUCUUCCUCCCUCGACUGUGCAGCUAAACCUGGGACAAGGGGUUGCAGGUCCCAACUGGAGGAAAGGGCUGUGCACAUGCUCCCUUCCUCCUGACAGUGAGCACGGCUGCUGUGCCCAUCCCCUUUCAGUGUCCCCAGGUCUCCUCCAGUCUGAGCACCGAGCCAUUUGAGAAGCAGCUCUUUCCUUUCUUUACACCAUGUUCAAGGCUGAGCAGGUCUCCAGGCAGCAGCUCCAGUUCCACCUUUCUCUUCAACAGACACCAAAAACAAUGUCUGUGAAGAUUUCUUCCCUCUACCAGGUCCCCAUCUGUGCUCCAGGAGUCCAUCAGCUAAGAUGAUUUCUUCCUGUGGGGAGAACAGUUUCUUUGUGGUGCGAUGAGGAGACCCCUAUAUACUGUCUCCCUCACUCCUUGUGUAACUCAGCUCAUGAUAAAUAAAAAAAUUUAUUCUUUUG